AUGGAUCUGCAGAUCGUGGGACGGCACGCGUUGCUCUUUGACGACGACGCGGCGGCGGAGGUCGUAAACUCCGGCGGCUCCCUCGUCCCCUGGUCCGCCGCCGGCGCGGCCGAUCUCCUCCUUGACCGCCACGACGUCCGCCACCUUCUCGACCGCGUCCCUCCUCGUUCAAACCGCGCCUACUCCGUGGCCCUCCUCUCCACCCCCUCUCCCGACGGCGUGUCCGAGGCCGAGCUUGACCGCGAGCGCUUCCUCGACCUCACCGCCGACGUCGGCACCGGAGACGCGUCUCCUUCAGGAAACGGGACAGAUACUGGGCAGGCCGGUUAUAAUGCCGUCGCUUUCUCAUACGGGGGACCUGCUGGUUCUGAUGAUCCGAAUGAUUCAGUCUCUUCUUAUCGCCCAUCUUUUCCUGUGCCAGAAAGCCUGUUGAAUAAGCUGCCUCCCUCCGAGAAGGUGCAUCAGAUAAUUGCAAGAACUGCUCUAUUUGUCAGUGAGCAUGGGGGACAAUCAGAGAUUGUGUUAAGGGUGAAGCAGGGAAAUAAUCCAACAUUUGGGUUCUUGAUGCCUGACCAUCAUCUCCACAGCUACUUCCGCUACAUUGUUGAUCAUCCUCAGCUGUUGAAAGAUGGCUCUGAUGCUGACACCAAUAAAGGCAACAAAAUUGUUAUGGGUGAGAGUGAGAUUGCUGCCUCGUCAAGCGGAGCUUUAUCAUUGCUUGGGGCCGUCUAUGAGUCUGGAGAUGAGGAUGAAGGCGUGCUUCCAGCUAGUUCAAAAGGCAAGGAUCCUGGAAAUGAAGCUUUGCAUGACAAUGCCCACAAAGGCUCAUCAUUCCUUGUACAUGACAACGAAGUGAAAAAAGAUCAGACAGUAACAAUAGAAGCAUCCACUUUAGUAAAGGAUAAACCUAUUUUCACCAAGAAGAACCCAACAAUUGCUGGAAACAGCAUUGUUGCUGCUCAGCGGGAGAAGGUUAAAGAUGCCACGACAGUGUUAACCACUUCUACCAAGUCUGACAACUCUAAAUUAGGUGUGUCUGACACAAAAGAAAUGAUACUGGAACCACCAUCCUUUUUGAAGGGCACAAUGGAGAAAAUAGUCGAGUUUAUUCUCAGGAACGGGAAGGAGUUUGAACAAAAGCUCAUUGAGCAAGACAGGAUGACAGGGAGGUUUCCAUUUCUUCUGCCGUCUAAUCCAUAUCACUCUUACUAUCUCAAGAUGCUUCAGGAAACCCAAGAGUCCAAGUCCCGUGGUGGUGCUUCAGAGCACAGAGACAGAAGGAGCUCUUCAGAGCGCCAAGACAGGAGGAGUUCUUCAGAGCGCAGAGACAGGAGGAGUUCAGAACGUAAAGACAGAAGGUCCAUGGAGCGCAAAGAUAGAAGUUCUUCAGACCUCCGAGACAGUGGCCACGACAAGGAAGUAACUAAAAGCAAGGGACGGGGAAGUGCUAACAAGGACUCAAGCACUUCUGAUAGAACCUCCGCGGAACCAUCACAGAAGCAGCUUUCUGACAAACAAGGGGAGGGGAAGUUCCAGUUGGUCACUGGUGGUGCCAAGAAGGAACUUCCUCGGACGGUCACUGCAGAUGAAGCUGCUGCUAUUGUUAUGGCGGCUACUCGUGGACUGGGGCCUGCCAAUCCUCAACCUAACACGCUAAAAGACACGGUUGACAUUCGCCAUAUACAGGGCUCAGGUGCAGUGUCCAAACCUGCUUCAAAUAGUGAGCCUGGCAUAUCAGUCACAAGUAGUGAUCAGCUAAAGAAGGAAGGUAUUGGAAUUAUCGAUGAUGAUUGGAUCACAAAUACAAUCGCAAAAGCAGUUGCUGUUGCCGCCUCUAAAGAGGCAGAUUCUUCUGAAGCUUCCAUGACAAAUGAGCAGAAGCUGAAGGCUGAGAGGCUUCGGCGUGCAAAGAUGUUCACUUCAAUUAUUAAGGGUGGUGGCAACAAGAAUGAUCUGGUGACACAGGAGAUAAGUAAUGAAUCUGCAAGGGCCGCUCCUGCUAAUUCGAACCUCCCCGUGCCUCCAGAACCUUUGGCUAGUGAACGGGAAGGUAGCUCUGUGCAUUUUGAACGGGAAGGUAGCUCUCUGCGUUUUGAACGGGAAGGUAGCUCUGUGCGUUUCGAACGGGAAGGUUCGAAUAUGAUCAAGCAGGAGAAAGACUCUGAUGACGAGCAGAACAGGGCACGCAAGUACAGAAAGCAUCAUCCAGAAUCCGAUGAGGACAAACAUGAUUUGGAGGAGGGAAGUUAUAAACACUCAAGGAAGAGGCAUCGUUCGGAGCGUUCAAGAGGCCACAGUAAGGAUGCACACAAACGUAAGCACAAGCAUCACUCCAAGGAAAGGGAGUAUAGGGAUCAUAGCUCUUCGGAAGAUGAGCUACGCAGUUCCAAGUCAAGGCAUCGACAUAGGGACGAUCAUCACUACGCUGAAGAUGACGAGCAUAGGAGGCACCGGAGGAGCCAUCGCUCUGGUUCCAAAAGGAAACACAAGGAUGACGGAGAUCUCAAUGAGCAAACUCUUGGCCGCGCUGAAGCCUCCCAAAGCACGCCUGAGCACAGGCAUGGAUCAGAGCAGCCCCCUAGCGACACUGCUCAAUCUUCGCAGGCGGCAACUCAGGUCCCAGAUGAGCUGAAGGCGAAAAUUAGGGCGAUGCUAUUAGAGACACUGUAA
rnacentral:rRNA from 1 species